GCUGUGAUGAUGACUUAUGGCAAUGAUCUGUUUGAACUGAUUGUCCUCUAAGAAGUUCUGAGCUU